rnacentral:rRNA from 1 species
UACGAAGGGGGCUAGCGUUGUUCGGAUUUACUGGGCGUAAAGGGCGCGUAGGCGGCCAGCACAAGUCAGUUGUGAAAUCUCCGAGCUUAACUCGGAAAGGUCAACUGAUACUGUGCGGCUAGAGUGCGGAAGGGGCAACUGGAAUUCUUGGUGUAGCGGUGAAAUGCGUAGAUAUCAAGAGGAACACCUGCGGCGAAGGCGGGUUGCUGGGCCGACACUGACGCUGAUGCGCGAAGCUAGGGGAGCAAACGGG